rnacentral:lncRNA from 1 species
GGAAACCAGGAAAAUAAAGGAGAAUUAGAGGAACCAAUCAAACUAGCACCAAAAUAGAGGAAAACCAGAAGGCACAUGAAUACGACAAGAAACCAACAAAGGCAUAUAUAACAAGCAAAAAGGGAUCAAUAUGCAGAGGGCCUAAAAUAAGAGGAAACUAAUCAAAACCAAACAGAAUCAGGGAACAAAUCCGUCAACACAAAUGAGUUUAGUGAUAGAUCCAUCAACACAAAUCCGUCAACCAGUAGCAAAGCAGCAGAUGACCUCACCAAGAAAACUGAUGAACUCAAGAAGAGAGACGGAAGCAAUGAUGGAAAGGCCAGUGAGCAGACAACCAUUAACGCAACAACAUGCGCCUCCUCGAUCUAUUAUAAGGCGCAAAUCCAAAGCUAGUGUGUGG